rnacentral:ribozyme from 1 species
UUUCACUUCUCGAAUUUACUUUCCUCCUUCUCUAUUCCCUUUUCCUUACCUUCACUUCUCGACUGUUUAACGAGCAUACAUUGGAAGAGAGUCGUCUGUGACGAAGUAAUCUUAUCAAGAGAAAAGUAAAUU